GAUGAAGAACGUAGCGAAAUGCGAUAAGUAAUGUGAAUUGCAGAAUUCAGUGAAUCAUCGAAUCUUUGAACGCACAUUGCGCCCUCUGGUAUUCCGGAGGGCAUGCCUGUUCGAGCGUCAUUAUAACCACUCAAGCUCUCGCUUGGUAUUGGGGUUCGCGGUUCCGCGGCCCCUAAAAUCAGUGGCGGUGCCUGUCGGCUCUACGCGUAGUAAUACUCCUCGCGAUUGAGUCCGGUAGGUCUACUUGCCAGCAACCCCCAAUUUUUACAGGUUGACCUCGGAUCAGGUAGGGAUACCCGCUGAACUUAAGCAUAUCAUAAGCGGAGGA
rnacentral:misc_RNA from 1 species